CCCUAGCCGCGAUGGCAGUGAAAAUCCUCUUGUAUCGGUCCCGACACUUCGGGACUGGUACAAGAGAUUGCAACGAACAGCGGGACCUGUC
rnacentral:sRNA from 1 species